CUCAAUCUAUGAAGCACAGCUGCUUCAGAGCCACAGGGAUAGACAGCAGCUGGUGUGCUGGAUGAGCCUGUGGCUCUCUCAGGUGCCCGGGCUCUGCGGGGAUGCUUCCAGGACUGCAGCUGAUCCUCGUGCAGGGCUUUAAUCUCCCUGGGCAAUCGGCAUCCAAGAACAGUACGUUUUUUAUGCCAGUGUGACACUAAUCUCAGGGUCUUCUGACCUCAUUUGUCUCCUCUCGACUCCUCCAAAAAUAUUCAGAGCAUCAGAGAAUUGGGAUGCCUCUGCUGGAGCACCCAGGAUGCCUCCAGCCAUGCCUGGCCCCGGAUAUGCCUGUCCCACAGGUUAGGAGGAGUCUGGGGGACCACAAGCAUUUUUGCUGUCCCAGAGCCUCUAAGUUUCCUGCUGCUUGUGUCAUUUAUGGCAUCUGCCCUUCCCCUUGAGCAACAAAAGUAGAACUGUACCAGUGCCUUAACUAAACUUUCUCAACCGAGGUUUUCACCUGAGACCGUAACUAAUUAGUCGUAUAAUUAUUAGUAUCUGUGUAUCAAGAUAGCCAACUUUCUGGGAUUUUUCUUUUAAAUCAAAGCUGGAUAAAAGAUCAAGAAGUACCCACAAAUGCUUUAUGUGCUUUCACAAAAAUAAAUGAAAAUUCUUUGCUUUUAUGACCACAUUAAAUGUCACUUUUAUGAUGGAAAUGUUUUAACUUUCCAACUUCACACAUACUCUAAGCCAUUUUGGUGUUUUAGACAUAAAGCAAAAUAUCUAGAAUUUUACUAAUCCCAGCAUACAAACUAAAAUAUUGAGAUAGGAUUCAUCACCUCUUAAUUAUUUUAAAAUUUAAAUUAAUAAUAAUUCCUGCUGGUGAUAGUGCCUAAUAAAACUCUAACUUUUUAACAUUGAAUUUCCCCUAACUUUUAAAUUUUAAGAAAUUUUAACAUGUGAGCAUUGGCAAAAUUGUGCUUUUUUUGAAUAUGAAAUCCAGCACAGGCAGUAGGGUGUUGCAAUAAUGACCUGGAACUGUGCUGUCAGUACAGGCACAUGUGGCUAUUUAAAUUAAAUAAAUAAAAUAAAAACAGAUUUCUUAAGUUGCACUAGCCACAUUUCAAGUGCCCAGGAGCUGCAUGUGGCUAGUGGCUACCAUGCCAGACAGUGCAGAUGUAGAAAGAGCAUUUCUAUCAUCACAGAAACUUCUGGACAGUGCUGGUCUGGAAGAUAUCCCCAAUUCCUGGUAGAAAUUUUGACAGCCUAAUGGUCAAAAGUUUCUAACCCUGAGGUUUGCAUGCCUGAGAGCAAUAAGACAUUUUUUUUUUUCCCUAUCAAACCAGAGAAGCUGUAUUCGGCACAUUUUGAAAGGCUAGUCUUCCAACUAUGGAAAGUUUAUACAACACAGUAGAUGUGUUCCGCAGAGCCAACUUAAAAUUAAUCCUUUUUCCUAUUGAAUUCCAUUAUAAAACCGGGUCUGUGUUCUUAUAAUUGAAAUCACACUUAUGAAUAAAAAUCUUUUAAGACAAUUAUAAUUUGCAGAAACUAGUUAUAUUUCUAGAUGUCUAAGUGGUAUUGCUGCAGUAGCCUUAGGUGGGACCAGAGAACAUGUUUUAUAACUUUCACUAUACAAAUUCCUUAGGAACUUUAUCAGUGAAGGAUUUUUGUUAUAGUUAUCCCUUGGUAUGCAGAACAUAUUUAUUAUGCAGAUUAUAUAUUGUGAUAUAUUUUGUUAUUGAAUGUUGGCUUUUAUAAAGGCAAUAUAUUGUUUAUGUGCCUAGGAAAUCCUCUAAAAAAGGCAUGGGUUGAUUUCUAGAGACUUAAGAAUCUGCCACCUCUAGUUUAUAAGACCAUUCCCCCCAGAGAUUUACCUAUCCAGUACCAUCUCUUAUAAAAAUAACUGCC
ensembl:lncRNA